GAUUUCAAUUGAAAAAGUCAUCAACAACAAAGUUAAAUAACUAAUCAAGAUCUAAAACUUUUAUUUUUGUUAUUUCUUCAUCUGACGAAAUGUUAGUAAUAUUAUUCACAAAUUUUACAUAUAUGUUAUAGUUUAUAAAACCAGAUAAGAGAUAUGUCAAUUUUGUGAAUAAUGUUACUAUCACUUUGUCGUAUGAAGAAAUGAUCAAAAUAAAAGUUUUUAGAUCUUGAUGAGUUAUUCAACUUUGUUGUUGAUGACUUUUUCAGUUUAUAUC
rnacentral:pre_miRNA from 1 species